UUAAUCCUCCAAAUCUCUUCUACAGAACAGACAUGCAACCGUUGGUGGUGAUUAAAAAAGAAAUUCUCCAACACCAGCAAUGGAAUCUGAGGGUUGACCAGGAGGACAUUAAAGAAGAAGCAAAGCUGUGGAUAAGUCAGCAGGGAGAGCAGUUUCAGCAGCUGGAGGAGGCAAAUCUCAGCAAGUUUGGUUUCGCUGUAACGAGUGAA